UACGUAGGGUGCAAGCGUUAAUCGGAAUUACUGGGCGUAAAGCGUGCGCAGGCGGCUUUGCAAGACAGAUGUGAAAUCCCUGGGCUUAACCUAGGAACUGCAUUUGUGACUGCAUUGCUAGAGUGUGGUAGAGGGAGAUGGAAUUCCGCAUGUAGCAGUGAAAUGCGUAGAUAUGCGGAGGAACACCGGUGGCGAAGGCGGCUUUCUGGACACUUACUGACGCUGAGACGCGAAAGCGUGGGGGAGCAAACAGG
rnacentral:rRNA from 1 species